rnacentral:rRNA from 1 species
UGGGGAAUUUUGGACAAUGGGCGAAAGCCUGAUCCAGCAAUGCCGCGUGUGUGAAGAAGGCCUUCGGGUUGUAAAGCACUUUUGUCCGGAAAGAAAUGGCUCUGGUUAAUACCUGGGGUCGAUGACGGUACCGGAAGAAUAAGGACCGGCUAACUACGUGCCAGCAGCCGCGGUAAUACGUAGGGUCCAAGCGUUAAUCGGAAUUACUGGGCGUAAAGCGUGCGCAGGCGGUUGUGCAAGACCGAUGUGAAAUCCCCGAGCUUAACUUGGGAAUUGCAUUGGUGAAUGCACGGCUAGAGUGUGUCAGAGGGGGGUAGAAUUCCACGUGUAGCAGUGAAAUGCGUAGAGAUGUGGAGGAAUACCGAUGGCGAAGGCAGCCCCCUGGGAUAACACUGACGCUCAUGCACGAAAGCGUGGGGAGCAAACAGG